rnacentral:lncRNA from 1 species
GAAUUUUAAAAAGUGGAAACAGAGAGAAGAAGGGAAUUUAACCCCCAGGGAAAUUUUCUGCAACGUAAAAUCAGACACAGCUUUAAAAUUCAAUGUUUUCUUUCUCUGAAGAUACCCAGGACAGUUUGUCUCUGUUGUUUUUCAUCAUAUAAAUUGCUUUGCUCGAAAGGCAAGUGGGAGUAAAUAUAGCAGCAGUAUCUCUGAUGUAACAUUUACUGACCUGGCCUGGACAUGUCCUUGACACUGUCCUUUAGAAAGGAAAGAGAAGGAGAGAAACUAUGUUCCUGCUGCUGUGUGUAGGAGAAAUGCCUAUUCCUGGCCAUUAUCAGGGUUCAGGGGACUGAGGGCUGAUGAGUACAGAGAAUAAAAAUAAAGAAGUAAAAGAUGGUAGUGACUUAUCAGCUUUCCUGCAUUUGGCUGUCCCUGGCAGGUGGGCCAGAGCCAGGGCCAGUCAACAGCAGUAUUUACUGAGGUGGAGGUGGCCAGAUGCUCCUGCUGGAAACCACGAGGGGUUCAAGUUCCAGACCAGUUGCAUUUUGAAAAGUGUCCUGCCUAAAACGUUUUGGAAUAACACUCUACCUGAGAGCUGUGCCCAGGAGUUUGGGGCAGUGAUGUGCAAUGAAGUGAAAGGGAUCCACGAUGGAGCAAAUGGCUGGUGAAGAACCAAGGAUGCAGCGGGGACCUGGGAAGAAUGUGUGAUUUUCAACGAGGAGGAGGACAACACAGAGGGACCCACACCAGUCCUUCUCUCCUUGCUCCACUUACACCAGAGUAGGAGAGGAUCAAGACAGUCCUAACUAAUUGUGAUAAUCCCUGUGCUUUUGGUGGGUGUUAAAAUCAUGUAUGGGCUACCACUUGUUAUUACCUUGGUAAGGGGUCCUAAGGGGGUGGAAGAUGAUUAUUUGUUCUUCAACUGCCUUUCUUCAGCCUAAAAUAGCUAUGCACAUCAUGACUGUUUACAGAGAUUUGGAGGCAUUAACUCAAAUAAUUGUGAUAAUAUUUUUACAAACUGAAAAAUGUCUGAACUUCAUGAUCCGAGGAGUAAAGGAC